UACAGAGGGUGCGAGCGUUGUCCGGAAUCACUGGGCGUAAAGGGCGCGUAGGCGGUCCGGUAAGCGUGUGGUGAAAGCUCGGGGCUCAACCCCGAGUCGGCCAUGCGAACUGCGGGACUGGAGCAUGUCAGAGGCAGGCGGAAUUCCGGGUGUAGCGGUGGAAUGCGUAGAGAUCCGGAAGAACACCGGUGGCGAAGGCGGCCUGCUGGGACAUUGCUGACGCUGAGGUGCGAAAGCGUGGGGAGCAAACAGG
rnacentral:rRNA from 1 species